UACAGAGGGUGCAAGCGUUAAUCGGAAUUACUGGGCGUAAAGCGUGCGUAGACGGUUAUCUAAGUCGGGUGUGAGAGCCCCGGGCUCAACCUGGGAAUUGCAUUCGAGACUGAAUAGCUAGGGUUCGGAAGAGGGAAGCGGAAUUUCCGGUGUAGCGGUGAAAUGCGUAGAUAUCGGAAGGAACACCAGUGGCGAAAGCGGCUUCCUGGUCCAGAACCGACGUUCAGGCACGAAAGCUAGGGGAGCAAACAGG
rnacentral:rRNA from 1 species